rnacentral:lncRNA from 1 species
AGCCAGGGGGCCAUGGUGGCCUUUUUUUCGAUGGCUUUGGGUUUUUGCAAGGUCAGGUUUGGGAUGUCAUUGAAUUUAUCGUUCCUCUUGGAGUGAGAGUAAGGUUAUGAUGAGGUGAGUUUGAUCAAAUCUUACAUCUGAUCAAGCUUGUUUUGAAAUUAAUUGUGAGCUUGAAAUUUGAGGGGGAGAUUGGUUUAUUUAUCAUGGCGUUAAUUGGGCCAAGUACCAGCUUUAUUGACUAGUUUGAAAAUAUUAAAUUAAACUGGAAAAUCACUUCAAAUUGGAACCAAACUCAGUUCAAGCUUGAGUUGAAGCUGGAUUCCUUUUUUGGAUGGGAAUGGGAAGUGAAAGCUUUCCCUCAGAUUUAGAGUUGAAGGUAGAUUCAAGCUUGGUUUACUUGUAAAUUCAAGUUUGAUUCCAAUCUAAAAUUGAUGUUUCAUAAAUUCGAAAAUAAAUAAACAUUCAAGCUCGAAACAACCUUCAUAUUAUGGACUAUUUGAUCAAAAGAUCUCGCAACCACCAUAUAAACUUACAUCUAUGUAUAGUUUUGAGUUUCAUUAAGCCGCGACUGAUCGAGGUAAAUCUUAUUUUGAUUCAGUUUGAAAUUAUAUUUGAACCUAGGUCAUCGAUAACCGCGGCUCCUGUAGCUUUGGAUUAGGAUGAAUUGAGUAUUUUCUCAGCUGAGAUGGCGCAAAUUCUUACGUCGAACGACCAUAUGAGAGAACGAGAUAGCCUUGUGCAAAAGCAAGCAAACCGCCGGGUGGGAGAAGUAUUCACGGUGUUUGGUGAUACGUUUUCAUAGAAUUUUUUGAAAUCUUUAUGUUUUUUAGAACAUCUUUAUUUUUCUCGGAUUGGACUGAAUCUUAACUAUUUAACUUCUUCUUUAACCCAGAAAUAAAAUUGGGCAUCCGUGUCUUUCCAUUGGUGCGCGAGCGCGACUCCGAUCUCCUUUCUUUGAGGCAUCUUACGGCGGCCGUAAAAUUUUAGUAUUCUAGCUUGGUUGAAGCUUACAUUUUUUUUAAUAAUAUUUUUUUAUUAAUUUAUUAAUAUUUAUUAUAUAUAUAUUUUAAAAAUAAUUAAAAUAUAUUUUAUAUGUAGUAUGGAUUAUAAAUUAUAUUUUUUUUCUAAAUUUGAAGUUCUUCGUGAAUCUCUUGCUGUUUAUCUUCUAAAAUCAUCGUCCUCUUUCAGUAGCUAUGGCCCAUGGUAGAACUCAAGCGGCUCUCGAUGAGUCAGAAUUUCAUUCGGAUCCAUUCGGAUCAAAUAUAUUGGUGUCUACUCACAUAUCUGCGGCUUAGGUUUCAACUCUGCUUUGGAGGCUCGCACCAUUUUCAAGAGCAUGAUUGGCCAGCAGUCCACCCAUAUGAUUGCUGACCUCAUCUUUUUGCUUAUCCGUAAGGACAAGAUCACUGGCGACUCCAUCCUCCUUAUCGACCAACUAGGCACCAUCAAGACCACCAUUGUCAUGGGCCUCGCCAAGUCUCUUGACCAGGAGAUUUUCUUUGCCACUGUCUUCGACUUCAAGCUUUUCUCUCUUAAGAUGUCUAAGAUCAAAACCCUCGUUUCGGCUUUUUGUCUGCUUUGCUUUUCAUCUUUGGAGCUUAUUCUUUCUUUUCUCUUUUCACUGCAACGGUGGAGCUCAAGAUGCUUUCAGAGAGCUCGGAUCUCACCCAAAUUGAGCAUUUCGGCGUCCACUCGUACAUCUACAAUCUGGGCUUUGACUUCGUCUUGGAGGUCUGCACCAUCUCCGAGAGCAUGAUCGGUCAGUAGUCCGGUUGUAAAACCAUUGGUCUCAUUCUCUAGCUCAUUUGUAAGGGCAAGAUCACAUAUCGUGCCAUCCUCCUUGUCAGCCAGUUCAACAUCGACAAGAUCGUAAUUGCCCCCUUCGCCACUAUCUCUAGCUCCAAGCUUUUCUCCCUCAAGAUAUUUAAGAUCAAAAUUCUCACCCAUACUUUUCGCUGUGCUAUUAGUGUCCGCAUCAAAGAGAAGGUCGAGAUAGAUACACGUAUCAAAUGAAAACUUUGUCAAUACAAAAGUCUUCAUUUUAAUAUAUAUAUAUAUAUAUAUAUAUAUAUAUAUAUAUAUAUAUAUAUAUAUAUAUANNNNNNNNNNNNNNNNNNNNUAUAUAUAUAUAUAUAUAUAUAUAUAUAUAUAUAUAUAUAUAAUUAGAAUAGAUAUUAGAUUAAAUAUCUACCGUCCAAUCGCAAUAUUAAGCAGUAGAUGUUCCUUUCCAUUCUCAAGGAUCUUGAAAUUAGUUUAAACAAAAAAAAUUAAAAGAGCACCCUAGGAUAAAUUGCCCAUGAAAACUGUUUCUCUAUUUCUUUAUUUCUUAUCCUCUGAUUGAUUCUGCUUAAAAGAAAUCCUUGCUUCUGUUUCUUGGGCAUAAACUAUUUCAGCUUCUCCCCCUCCUUGAAUUCUUGGUAGAAAUCCUAGCAUCUCCGAUCCAAAUCCUAGAAUUCCUUGGGAGGGUCAUGAGUUGCUGAAAGCCAUGCCUUUGUAUGCCAAAGUCUUUUACUUUUGCGCUUCCUAUCCUCUCCCUAGUCCUCUCAUUUCUGCCGCCUCACCUCCUCUUUCAUCUUUUUCAUAACUUGCCUCGUCUUUGGCAUCGCCCGAUUCCUCUUUGAAUCCAUCUCUAUCUCUCGGUCAAUGAUCGACUAAUGCAAGUACAUCGAUUUUGAGUCCAUUUCUAUUUCUAUCUUAUGGGAUUGGAAAGACCGGCAUAAAUAUCUGCCACCAUCGCUGUCCUGUGGAGCCUCAUCGCUCUCCACCUCUACCACUCUAUCUUCGGCCCAUUCAUAUUGGGAUUGGCUCCUUAGACUUUCUCUUCCAUCUUGAUUCCGCUUUCAUCUAAUUCUUCUUGGGCCUUCGCUGUUCUAAUUCCUCCUGUCAUUUUUUUCUAUCUCUAGCCUGCUCAAUCUAUUCUUUAGUUUUUUUUUUUUGUGUAUGAUUAAAUAUGAUAUUUUAGACGUACAUAUCAAAUAGAAAUUUUGUUAAUGCUAAGAUUUUUAUUUUAAUAUAUAUAUGUUAGGUGAGAGAUUUGUAACUAGUUUACAAUAUAUAUUCUAAUAAGUUUGAGGGCACAGAAGUAAUUGAAUAUUCAACUCUAGAUGCAUAUGUAAUUUUGCCGUAGUCAGUUGAGACCUGCCGAUUCCAAAUGAAGAUUUUUCCUACGCAAGAGAAGGUAAUGCCGACUUCUAAAAUUAAUUGGACUUUAAAAUAGGAUUCCGUCUUUUAAUUAGGUAUUAUAAAGAAAUUCUUAAUACAAUCCAUAUAUAAUUAAUAAAUAAAAAUUAAGAAAAAGUAGGGGUCGGUGGCAGAGACGACCCUACGGUCGGCAACUUCGCCGCACAAUACACAAGACCGGGCGGUGCUAGCCAAGAACGUUGGAGCGACGCCCUGAGGGUAAAACCCUUGAUGGCGUCCGCUCACCCUUCUCCUCCACCCCCAUUGCCGCUGGCGGUUGCGAUCUCCUCUCUGUCUCGGCGGAGUCACCUCGAGAUGUUGCUCUCUUCUUCCCUUCGCUUCAUGCCUUUCACCUCAUCACGCAACACGCAACCGGGGAUCCGAAGUACAAGCACGGGAGAAACCUGCCAAGCAUUCGCACGCCUUCCACAA